rnacentral:rRNA from 1 species
CCUACGGGAGGCAGCAGUGGGGAAUAUUGGACAAUGGGCGCAAGCCUGAUCCAGCAAUGCCGCGUGAGUGAUGAAGGCCUUAGGGUCGUAAAGCUCUUUUACCAGGGAUGAUAAUGACAGUACCUGGAGAAUAAGCUCCGGCUAACUCCGUGCCAGCAGCCGCGGUAAUACGGAGGGAGCUAGCGUUGUUCGGAAUUACUGGGCGUAAAGCGUACGUAGGCGGUUAUUCAAGUCAGAGGUGAAAGCCCGGGGCUCAACCCCGGAACGGCCUUUGAAACUAGGUAGCUAGAAUCUUGGAGAGGUCAGUGGAAUUCCGAGUGUAGAGGUGAAAUUCGUAGAUAUUCGGAAGAACACCAGUGGCGAAGGCGACUGACUGGACAAGUAUUGACGCUGAGGUACGAAAGCGUGGGGAGCAAACAGGAUUAGAUACCCUGGUAGUCCACGCCGUAAACGAUGAUAACUAGCUGUUCGGGCACUUGGUGCUUGAGUGGCGCAGCUACGACAUUAAGUUAUCCGUCCGUCGGGUAGGUACGGUCGCGAAGAAGUUAAACGUAACGAAAGGAAAGUUAGUAACGGUCGUGUUAGACGUGCCGACGGACGACGACGAGGGAGGAGG